rnacentral:lncRNA from 1 species
AGCAGUAGCAUCACAUAUGCUUGGGGAGACUGAGUAGAACAUCUCCUGUGACGUGCCUCACCCCAUCUUUCCACCCAAAAUUGAAGACAAUCUGAUAUGCUGAUGAUGGCUACACGUAGAGUGCCUGGAUUCAUCUGCAUUGAAACUCCUUGAGAAUUUUGAUAGGUUGAGCCAAAACAGAAUAAUGAAAUGAACCCUUCUAGGCAGGAAGGCAGAAACAGACAUAAAAGAUGAUUUCUCUGUGUUAUCUGGCCUUUAUGGAAAGAACCAUGAUGAGCUUCCAGAAAAUGCAUUAUUGAUGUGAUGUAAUAAGGCAGGGGUUUUAACAUCUUCAUCCUGGAAAAUUGGAGUCCUUCCCAUGGAAUGUGUGUGUUGAGCUUAGCAGAGACAGCCCUUUCCACUCUGGAGGUAAGACUGGGAAAAUUUGAGUCCAGAGCCCUCUGCUGCCUCUGGGCCCACUGCCUGUCCAAACACACCUGCAGGAGGAAAGAAGGACCCUGUUACAAACAAGAGAAGAAGAGGAGAUCAAAGCAGCUGCAUCAUCUCAUUAACCUUCACCCCCAGAGAAGAUGGCAAGGAAAACUUAGAAACAAACAAAAUCAAGCCACUCUUCCUGCCUUCAGUGGAGCUUCAAACCAGAGGAUGUUACCUGGAACACACUGGAGAGUCAUAACCUUGGAGCACUGGCAGCAAUUGGUGUCAACAAAGAUAAUGAAAAAUGAACUGGGAUUCCAACAUCUGUGAACCAGGUCUCCCCUGGAGCUGACAUGGAAGUUGGAGACAGGUAGACAACGCCUGGUCUUUUCAAGGUGCUGAGCUAAAAAGUCUUCAUAGACAUCAGUAUCAUUGCAUGUAUUUUCUUCUGGAAACA